rnacentral:rRNA from 1 species
AGGGUUUGAUCAUGGCUCACAACGAACGCUGGCGGCAUGCCUAACACAUGCAAGUCAAACGAGACCUUCGGGUCUAGUGGCGCACGGGUGCGUAACGCGUGGGAAUCUGCCCUUGGGUUCGGAAUAACAACGAGAAAUUGCUGCUAAUACCGGAUAAUGACGUAAGUCCAAAGAUUUAUCGCCCAAGGAUGAGCCCGCGUAAGAUUAGCUAGUUGGUGAGGUAAAGGCUCACCAAGGCGACGAUCCUUAGCUGGUCUGAGAGGAUGAUCAGCCACACUGGGACUGAGACACGGCCCACACUCCUACGGGAGGCAGCAGUGGGGAAUAUUGGACAAUGGGCGAAAGCCUGAUCCAGCAAUGCCGCGUGAGUGAUGAAGGCCUUAUGGUUGUAAAGCUCUUUUACCCGGGAUGAUAAUGACAGUACCGGGAGAAUAAGCUCCGGCUAACUCCGUGCCAGCAGCCGCGGUAAUACGGAGGGAGCUAGCGUUGUUCGGAAUUACUGGGCGUAAAGCGCACGUAGGCGGCUUUGUAAGUUAGAGGUGAAAGCCUGGAGCUCAACUCCAGAAUUGCCUUUAAGACUGCAUCGCUUGAAUCCAGGAGAGGUGAGUGGAAUUCCGAGUGUAUAGGUGAAAUUCGUAUAUAUUCGGAAGAACACCAGUGGCGAAAGGCAGCUCACUGGACUGGUAUUGACGCUGAGGUGCGAAAGCGUGGGGAGCAAACAGGAUUAGAUACCCUGGUAGUCCACGCCGUAAACGAUGAUAACUAGCUGUCAGGGCUCUUAGAGCUUUGGUGGCGCAGCUAACGCAUUAAGUUAUCCGCCUGGGGAGUACGGUCGCAAGAUUAAAACUCAAAGGAAUUGACGGGGGCCUGCACAAGCGGUGGAGCAUGUGGUUUAAUUGGAAGCAACGCGCAGAACCUUACCAGCGUUUGACAUGGCUAGUAUAGUUUCCAGAGAUGGAUUCUUUCAGUUCGGCUGGCUAGCACACAGGUGUUGCAUGGCUGUCGUCAGUUCGUGUCGUGAGAUGUUGGCUUAAGUCCCGCAACGAGCGCAACCCUCGACUUUAGUUACCAUCAUUUAGUUGGGUACUCUAAAGUAACCGCCGGUGAUAAGCCGGAGGAAGGUGGGGAUGACGUCAAGUCCUCAUGGCCCUUACGCGCUGGGCUACACACGUGCUACAAUGGCAGGUACAGUGGGCAGCAAUCCCGUGAGGGUGAGGUAAUCUCCAAAACCUGUCUCAGUUCGGAUUGCAUUAUGCAACUCGAGUGCAUGAAGGCGGAAUCGCUAGUAAUCGCGGAUCAGCAUGCCGCGGUGAAUACGUUCCCAGGCCUUGUACACACCGCCC